rnacentral:rRNA from 1 species
AGAGUUUGAUCCUGGCUCAGAUUGAACGCUGGCGGUAUGCUUAACACAUGCAAGUCGAACGGUAGCAGGCCUUCGGGCGCCGACGAGUGGCGGACGGGUGAGUAAUGCGUAGGAAUCUGCCUAGUAGUGGGGGACAACUUGGGGAAACUCAAGCUAAUACCGCAUACGCCCUACGGGGGAAAGCGGGGGAUCUUCGGACCUCGCGCUAUUAGAUGAGCCUGCGUGAGAUUAGCUUGUUGGUGAGGUAAAGGCUCACCAAGGCUACGAUCUCUAGCUGGUCUGAGAGGACGAUCAGCCACACUGGGACUGAGACACGGCCCAGACUCCUACGGGAGGCAGCAGUGGGGAAUAUUGGACAAUGGGCGCAAGCCUGAUCCAGCAAUACCGCGUGUGUGAAGAAGGCCUUAGGGUUGUAAAGCACUUUCAGUUGUGAAGAAAAGUUUUGGGUAAUAACCUUAGGUCUUGACGUUAACAGCAGAAGAAGCACCGGCUAACUCCGUGCCAGCAGCCGCGGUAAUACGGAGGGUGCAAGCGUUAAUCGGAAUUACUGGGCGUAAAGCGCGCGUAGGCGGUUUGAUAAGUCAGAUGUGAAAGCCCCGGGCUCAACCUGGGAACUGCAUUUCGAACUGACAAACUAGAGUUUUGUAGAGGGUGGUAGAAUUUCAGGUGUAGCGGUGAAAUGCGUAGAGAUCUGAAGGAAUACCAGUGGCGAAGGCGGCCACCUGGACAAUAACUGACGCUCAUGUACGAAAGCGUGGGGAGCAAACGGGAUUAGAUACCCCGGUAGUCCACGCCGUAAACUAUGUCAACUAGCCGACUGAAUGCCUUGAGCGCUGGGUGACGCAGCUAACGCAUUAAGUUGACCGCCUGGGGAGUACGGCCGCAAGGUUAAAACUCAAAUGAAUUGACGGGGGCCCGCACAAGCGGUGGAGCAUGUGGUUUAAUUCGAUGCAACGCGAAGAACCUUACCCACUCUUGACAUCCACAGAAUUCGCUAGAGAUAGCUUAGUGCCUCCCGGGACUCUUUACAAGGUGCUGCAUGGUUGUCGUCAGCUCGUGCCGUGAGGUGUCGGGUUAAGUCCCAUAACGAGCGCAACCCCUAUCGUUAGUUGCCAGCGAGUCAAGUCGGGGACUCUAACGAGACUGCCGGUGUAAACCGCGAGGAAGGUGGGGAUGACGUCAAAUCAGCACGGCCCUUACGUCCAGGGCUACACACGUGUUACAAUGGCCGAUACAAAGGGCAGCUACCAGGUGACUGGAUGCUAAUCUCGAAAGUCGGUCUUAGUUCGGUUCGAAGUCUGCAACUCGACUUCGUGAAGCUGGAUUCGCUAGUAAUCGUAGAUCAGCAAUGCUACGGUGAAUACGUUCCCGGGCCUUGUACACACCGCCCGUCAAGCCAUGGAAGCUGGGGGUACCUGAAGUCUGUCACCGCAAGGAGCGGCCUAGGGUAAAACUGGUAACUGGGGCUAAGUCGUAACAAGGUAGCC